AUAAAAUAUAAAGUUAAUAAGCAAACAAAGGGAAAAGGAAAAAAGAGAAACUCAAGACGAUGAUGAUAAGUAUGAUAUGAUGAUAAGAUUACAAAAGGAAAGGAGAGACUUCUCAACUAUAUCCUAUUUGCUGCUGUUGCUGAGGAGGUUGAUAACCAGGAUAACCCGGAUAACUGCCAUACACGUUCGGAUCCUGUCCAGCAGGAGCAUAACCAUAGUUUUCAUAGCCUUGUGCAUACCCAUAGUAUCCACCACCACCAUUCCACUGGUUUGGAUCUGCCUGACCCUGAUAAACAAACACCCAAGCUCAUUUUACAAAUUAUCAGCUAGUUAAGGAAAACAAACACACAGAUUUAACACUAUUAAUUACCUGUUUGUUUGAAGGACUGCGUCCCCAUGACAGACGAACGUUUUGUCCACCCAAUAGUGUCCCAUUUAACAUCCGAAGUGCCUCUUCAGCACAGCUCCUGAG
rnacentral:lncRNA from 1 species